rnacentral:lncRNA from 12 species
GCUUGGUUUGUGACCCUGCCUGAUACAUUACCUUAGGACAUUUAUCCCAGGCCCACACUAAGAGGUCAAGGUAGAGAGGACGAAGUGCCCUUUUUCAUUCUUGAUUUCCAAGGACACAGAGAAUAUCAGGGAAUGUGUGUAUUCUCAGACCUAUCCUGGUGUGAGCUUCAUGAUAUUAUAGGAGGAUGGAUUGAGAUCUGAGGGUCCUGGCUUUAUCUGGAAAGUAGACGUAGAUCCCUGUUCUCAUCAAGAUUACCUGUUUGGUAUUAUAUAUACUCCCGCCAGGCCUUUAAGUAAGGGCCUAUCUGUAUGGUCUGAUUGAUUUAAUUCAAGGUAAGGUGUUAAUGACUUAUUAAUGGCUUUUUAGAUAAUACCCUUGCUUUCUGGUAAAGAUUUUUAAUGAUGCACAAAAAUAAUGACGAGUGAUUAGAAUUCUAAAGGCUACAGGAGAAAUGGUAAUAAGACACGGGGAAUGGGACGGAUAUUUUUGGCAGAGAUGCUCUUUAGUAUU